ensembl:lncRNA
UGUGCUGUGAGUAUAGGCUGUGUCCGAAUUCAGGGGAAGGAUGCUUAAAAUGCCAUAUUUGGAUGCAAUGACGUCACAGCGAGGCGACGAGGGCUGUCCGAAUCCAGAGAGCACUCAAAAUGUGGCGACAAAUGCAUCCUACCUUGCUCUGAAUUCUAAGGAUGGUACGAUGUAUCCUUCAUGUCCUACUAUAUCCCAGGAUUCAUUGCGGGUCAUAGAGGAGAUUUGUUUCUGAUAACGAUGGUGGUCGAAGCAGGAGAGGAAAACACUUUCAAAUGACAAUUCUGGAGAGGAUGGGCCUGCAGGGGAAAGUCACCCGCUUGCAGGCCAGAAGACAUGAGAUAACUUUAAAGAAUACAAAGAUUGCAAGUAUCCAGGCUCAGGAGAGGGGGUCAGUGGGAAGCCCACUGCUGCUACUUGGCCCUGGUUUGCCCUCAUGGAUGAGGUGAUAGGACAGAUGCCUUCCAUUAGGCCUCCUGUCCUAAUUUCCUCUCUCCCUGAGGACACUCCAGGGCCAAGCGCAGCAGUGGGUGACCAAAACGACAGCGAUGACGAAGCGGCUCAGCCACCUACGACAGGGAGAAAGAGGAAAAGAGACAGGGAUGAUGAGCUGCUAGACCUCAUCAGAGAGGACAUGAGGCAGCAAAGAGAGGCUGAGGAGAGGAGAGCAGGGAGAGGACGGACAGACUGUUUUCACUUCUAGAAAGAUUAGUUCCAAAAUGAGUUAUGUAUU